UAUAAAUCGACGAGCCGCGUUCGGCUGCGUCAUUGUUAAAUUACUCAGCCUUUCGGCAAAUUACUCGGUUUUCGCAAAUUUACUUAAGAGGAUUUAAGUGCGUGUUCGCCUUCAUUCUUUUGUAUUCUAUAAUACCUUAACUUUGAAUCUUACCGGAAUACAUAGAAACUAGAAGCUUUCUGGCUAAUUGCGAAAAUUUUGAAAGUUAUUACUUCGUCACGAUUGCUACCAAUUUACGUGGUCAAGAUUAUGUCCAAUUCCUGAUUUAUCUCCAACUCGUUUUAUUUAUUUUUAUUGCUGGAUGCUGGUGGCUGCUGAUAAAUGAGGUAGGCAUAAUAAAGCUUUAACUAAUUUUUUUUACAUUGGCAAAUAUUUGUUUUUGUUUUAUAUUUUUCAUUUUAAAAACGUUACUGCAAAAAGCCACGAGUUCUUGAUCAUUCUCUAAUGUUUCUGUGGCUCUGAAUAUUUAUUCGCAUUGUCCUUCAAACUUUCUUCCAAAGUUUUCAAAUAUUUCAUCUUAUUCAAAACCCCAUCGAUUGAUACGAGAUUUCCAACGUUAUUCGCCUGCCAUGUAAUCCGAUGCCAUCGCUGAUCUACCACCAUAUUUUACCGUGGCACAUAGAUUCUUUGAAUUUAAUUCUGUAUUUCAUUCCUCUAUACAGAUUUACGAACGUAACUUUCAAAAAUGUCAAAUUUAUUUUCAUACAACAACAGAUACUGUGGAGAAAAAUACCGUAUUCCAGUGAGGAUUAUCUUUGUUAGUAGAUUCAUUAGCAUAUUCUAAAUGUAAUAUUUUAUUCUUCUUACUGUUAUGCCGCGGCUUCUCAGCAGAGGUAGUUUGAAAAAUGUGAAGAUUCUUCGUAAGAAAUCUACGACAUUUCUUAGAGACAGAGUCCGUUCUGGUCAAAGUGGUUCAGAAUUUCGAAAACAAAUGUUAAGAACUUGGGUUUUCGAAUGUGUAUUCUUAACAAACUUGGUACGGAUGAAUGAACGAACGAAUUAUCGCAUUUACGAACCAACGAACUCCUGGCGACCUCACUAGUGGUAACUUUAUAUCAACGUUCGCUAUCUGUUUUUGGGACAACAGCUGGUAACAGAGUUGGUGUUUUGCUAGCCUUGCGGAACGCUACUAACUCCAGUGCUUUGGAACUAGGUUAAAAAUGUGCCGAUACUGUGGUAUAAGGUGUUUCCAGGUUAGCGAUUUUUUCCAGCAUUACAUAACAUUAUUAAUAAACGGUCUUUUUUUCGCAAGUCGUACAUUUAAAUCGCGUUUUCUUAAUAAUCUCCGAUACAAUUCUGUAUGUACUUCUUUAUCGUACUUCUCGUAUUAUUAUUAUUAUUAUUCUGUAUUAUUCUCGUACCUCUGAAUUUCGCAAAUUAUUCAUAUAUAUCAUCCAGGACGACCUUCUUCCCUAGAAUAUAAUAAAUUGUAGAAAUGUUCCUCUCUAGGAGCUUUGCAGUUUCGCUUGUAGAUUUUUUUUCCUCGUACCACUAUACUAAUAAUUCUCUUUCUGUUUUAUUCGCUUCCAAUUUCUUCUAAAAUUUCAUUAUAUGGGCACUCGAUCUUGGGGAAACUACAGCGUGAAUUCUACGCAGUAUUUCUUGCAGACUAGCUGUCUGUAAACUAGCCAACCUUUGUUUACGUUCUCUGACCCACCGAAACGAAAUUAUUAUGAAGAUCCUAUACAGAUUUUCAACACUUUUGCGAUUGAUGUUCUGCUACUAAUUGCAAUAAAUCAUUCUAUUUUAGAUGUGCGUUUCCCAAUUUGAAUGAAACUUAUACAUAGAUUAUCCUCACAUUUAUACCCAUGCAUUAUACAUACGGAAAUUUCAAAAUAUUUAUUAUCCUUGUUGGAUUCCAGGAUCGUAUGGAUCGAAGAAUUGGACGGUUUUGAUACGAUUUCACGUGUAUCUAAAAUAUACGCGUACACGUGUAAUUAAUAUAUCCGCGUUUUAAUCCAUGUACUUCUCAAUACACGGGUACACGUGUAUUAAAAUACAGGAGCGCACGGAUCAUAUCUAUACAUGUAGCUGUACAUGUACUGAGGUUCACGAAUACACGUAUCGAAAUGUAUAGUUUCACGUGUAUUAACACAUACUUUAUGUUUUAUUUUAUAAUUAAAUAUCAAAAUAUUUAGAUAUGUAAAUUGUUUAUGAGAUUUCAUUUUUUGGUUUGCAGGUAAAAAUAAGAAACAUUAUGGUUUUGGUUAAUAAAGUUUAAUUUAUUAAUUUCCUGCUUCGAGAUAAGGAAGCUAAAAUAUUAUCAUUUUGUGCAAGUAAAUGGUUUAUUUUUUUUGUUACAAUAUUUUCAGCACAUGAAAAUAUUCGCAAGUUCGGAAAUUACUGGGUAUUUGUUUGCGCUAGUCUUCCAUCAUUCAACUUAAUUUAAUUAAGUCAAAGCGUUACUGUGGCUCGGUCAUAUAUGUUUCUUUUUGAAUAUAAACGUUAUUCUUAUCGCUGAUUUCGUCAUAUAAAAAUUCAAGAGCAGAUUUUUCGUGCGUCUUCCUUACAUUUACUGUGUGUAUUGCGUUUAUUAUAUUCGAGUUUUGGAGAAAACGUUUGACUUUUGUACGAAUUAUUUCUUUUACUGUUCACUCAAGUUUGAAACGUCUCGUAAUAUCCGAAAUUAUAGCUUCUUUAAAUGUAUGUGUUCGCUGUUAUCGACUGUCGGACACCUUGAGAUUUUAAGACAGUGCAUAAUAGACCUCAGUAGUAAAUAUGUAUCUAUUGGUUUUCUUAACAUGUUGACGCCGGUGCGACCCAUCGGCAGGUCACACGUGUCUGUCUAUAUUAUUUUAUCUCAUCAUUAUAAGCAGACAUACAAUAGUAAAAACAUAACAAUUCAAUAUUAUAAACUUAAUAUAACUACAUAACUUCCUUUCUUCAUACAAUUUUUUAAAACAAGUUAGGCGGAGUACCGGCUGGCUCUUACAAUGAUUACAAUAUAUUUUUUGAUUCCUUUCACAGUAUACUCUCUACCUUUUAUUCUACAAAUGCGUUUACAACUUUCUUUACACCGCCGUUUCGUUUUGCUCGCAGGCCCUUGGUAUGACUGCAGAAAAUGUGAUCGUUUUUUUGGCAGUACUUCAUUGUCACUUGGCAUUUUUUCUUUGUGGGGAUUCACUAUAUUUAAAAGGUGAUAAAUAAUUUCUCCGAAAUUUUAAAAUUUGUAUACUUUUAGCAUCCCAUUUUCUAUGUACCAUUGCCACGCAUUUAUGAGGCAAGUCCCACAUAUUAAUUCUAUUACAAUUUUUUUAUACCAUUUUAUGGUUCUGCGCAAACAACUAUAAUAGGAUGACGUUUGAUCGGACAGAUCAACCCCCCCCUUUUUAGCAUUAUUAUAAAAAAAACAGUGUCUGGCUUUAAUUUACUAUUUUUCCCGUGAACAAUAACACACCUAUGAUUUUUGGAACUAGCUAGCAUACAUGCUGGCCUUUUGUCAGUCCAUUUUGCGUAACCUAACGCUAUUUUCGUUGUUCAUGUUCCUUACGCGCGCCGUUGUUCUUCGACAGACAUGCAUGACUAUUGUUUAUUCCUGUACGGAAUUGAAAAAUUUUUUGAUUCGCGCAAUGAACGUUUUUUUAUAGAAAAAUGUACACAGAAUUACGUGCGAUGGUCAGAAUUCACGUCACAUCUCUACUUUUUGAGAAAAUUCGGAAAGAGUACAGAAUUAGGACCAAAGCUGGUCCCGUCAGCUUUACUUAACAUUUAUAGAUAUAUGCAAAUUGAUAUUGACAAACUAUUGUGUAUUAAUGUAUUAGUUGAAGUCCACGGAAUUCAAUGAACCCAACAGGAAUCAUAUAACUUUCUUAAAUGUCGUAUAAAUUGAGGUCAAGGUUGAAAAAUUGCAGUCGUGUCGACAGGUUAAUGUGACCCAGCGCCGCCCCACGAAGCAGACAGUGAAUUCAUCAAUGUGUCAACAGGAUUAGAAUGCCCCGUUCUCACACACACAUCACACACGAUAUUACAAAUAAAUAUAUACAUAUGCAACCAUGACUCAAACCUAUGUACACAUACUGCCAUAACUCAAACACACAUAUAAUAUUUCCUACCCUAAACCUGUAUUAACCAAACAUUAUCUCUACCUCUAUCUUUUAUUGCCUUCACCUAAUCCCAAUCCGUGUUUUAAUUCUACCAUACUUAUAGUUAGGACAUUACUAAUCAACUAUGCUAUUUUUUUGGUCUAGCCACGUCAGUUUCCAACGCUUCAUCCACUCACUACGCCUUCUUCCUCCAGAUUCUCUAGCUAUUUUUCCUAGACCUUACUGGUACUCAGUAGAAUGUAAGGACGACCGAGUUAGAUGUAGAAGCGGGUAUUUAGGGAAACGAAGAGAAAAGGGCAAUAUUUCGCAUAGUUUGAAUUGUGGUCUCAACUAACGGGAUUUCGAUGCUGAAUAUUAGGACAUUGUUGUUAUAGGCGAUUGUUUAAUUUAUACAAUUUAAUCGUAUUUGUGCAUGCCGGAAUAUGAUAAUGGAAUGGACCAACUCAGCCCCCUCCUGGAGAACGAUAUCGGUUAAGUCGUUGAAAAGGAUUCGGGAAAAUACUAUCUGCGUGUUCGAAGCGAGUCUUGUCAAAGUAAUGGAAGAUAUAAUUAACAGUAUUUAUCUGGUUCCGAGAAUAUCUGUGACAGGGGCAAUACUUCUUCGGAGAUAAGAUAUCGUUUGAAGAUUUCGUUCAGGUAGUUAGUAACAGUAAUGGAGUUUGUAAGACUAUUACACGCUUCUAUAUUUUCCUUAAGUUUAUCCUCGUCCUCUCGCAAAGACUACGGAUGGGCGAGCUAAAAUUUUGAAUUGCAUCUUUAGUGAUUGCAAUUUGUUGUCUCAUUGGUAUUUGAACAUUCCUAUCUUUGAAGAGAGUCGAGUCGAUCGUCUUCUUAUGAAAUUUAGCGUCUUCGGUAUCGGGGGAAUAACCAAAGCAAAACGUACGAUGCGCCGUCAAACGCGCCCUCUUUUAUUUAUUUUAUUUCCCUUGUUCGAUUUAUGUGGCUGUCUUGUAUUUGAUAAGUUUGAUUCUAUUCACAGUUGCGUGAGAACGUUCAGAUGCGUGACUGUAUAUUUCGAAGACAGCUCUGACCAAAAUAGACGUUGUUACCGUAUACCGCAUGUUCGAUCUUGUGUGUACACAUAUUUACGGAUCUUGAGUGGCAUUUGGAUAAUCGGUCGAGUUUUUCGCCUGCGAUGGUGAGAUCGAGGUAGGUUAGUAGAAUUUCCAGUUUCGCGUUGCCUAAUUGGUUGUGAUGUAAUCCUACUUGAUUGUUUAAGCGGGAGAUUUUGCAACAGGAUUCGAUAAUUUUAUGAGCAUGGUUAAGGAUGGUUGAGACGAAUGUCAUUAGGACAAACCGGAAUCUAUUAUCUUUGUGUUAAUAAUGUCUAUUACUCGUUAUUGUCGCCUAAAACAAAGGGUUUCAGAAAACUGGCGUGAUAGGCUGUUAACUUUCCGUUCUUCAAAAUUUGGGCGGUAUUAUUGGAAUUGAUUUUGAUUAUUUUGUAAAGAACCUUUGUCGUUUGGUGGUAGUAUUUUUAUUUAAUCUCGGCGUAUUCUGUUUGUUUAGGAUAUAUACUAAAUCAUCGAUUUAGUUGUAAGUAAAUUUUUAAUCGAAUUAGGUUAUCUCUAACUAUUUUUUCCGUAUAGCUUAGUUUCCAUUUCAAGUUGAUUCUAUAGUCCUCAUAAUAAUAAGUUGUUGUAAGACCCUUGAAUUAUAUUACUAGAUAUGCUUUAGUUCCGAAAAGCAUUUCAUAUUUAAGAUUAUUUCAAUUUAAACACGCGUACGUAGGCUAACGACGCAGAGGUUAUGAAUUCUAGUAGUUAUCGUUACCUCAUGCACCUCAUCGAUAUCGACGAUUUUCGAAUAUGUUGUAGAAAUCUAUAUUACCAACAACUUUUCCCUAUUCGUGUAACCACCGUUCGGCAUUAGUUUCCGAGAUAUUGAGAAAAAGUUGUCAGUAUUGCUAUAAAAUUCCGAAUUCUGCUUGUAAUGGUGCGUCUGUGACAGCGCAUGUGCUGGAGUAUUGGUUAACAUUAGACAAAAUAUCCAAACUUAUAUAAAUUAUGAACGAAAGAUAAUAAAUAGGUUUGGAUUAAUCUCUUAGCUAUUAAUGCCACUGUAGUGCCUUUCGUGUAGAUGAUCUUUUCGACAAUCUAUAUAGUGACUUUCGCUUAUGGCAUCUUUUUGAACGAGACGUCACUACAGUGGCUCACCCUGUCUGUAGAUAUGUGUAAAUUAUCGCACGACCGUUAUUUGUUUAGUUUCGCAUUUUUUCGCUCAAUACACGUUUCUUAACGGUAUAUAAGCGAAUGUAAAAAAGUACUUCUGCCAGAGAUGUCAACAGGCCAUACAGUAUUUACUUUUGAAGACACCAGUUAUGAGUACUGUUACUUUUUUAUUUUGUUAUGUGUACCAUUAGUCGAUAACCUUUUUAACAUUCCGCUUCGUAUAUUUAUAAUUUUGUAGAAUUCUUAACCUCUAAAUUCUUGAGUAUAUCAAUACAAAACAGAAAGCAGGGAGCAAUUAGUGAUGGUCUCGAAGUGGACUCAGGAUUUAGAAAGGCGUCGAACAAAAAUAUAAACGAUAGGAAACGUGUAAGAAAAUUGCAAAGAAAGAUACUGAGUUCAAAUACGUAGAUUUAACUCGAUUAAUUCUGGGAUGAAAAUACAAAUUAGUCGAUUUGCUACUCCGUUACGAUUACUUUGAACUAUUCUAUUUCUGAAGUAUUAAUAUCGUUUAUUGUGGAAUAAACAAAUCGGUAUUGUAAAUACAAAAGGGAAAAUUCUAUGUGCUCUUUUGUAAAACCUCACGAAGGAGAAACAACUCUGAGUGAGAUGUAUUGCUUUUUUGCAAUCAAGUCACUUACGUCGCCAAUAAAAGAGUUACAUUAUUCCGAAUAUCGAACAAAGGUUAAAUUUUUGCGUACUGAUAUUUUCGGACGCAUAAUGAAUAGAGAUAGAUAUCCUUUUUUUGUUACGAAUGCUUUAUUUUAACGAAAUUACGACAGCUAAUUCUGAUUGGCUAGUAGAAGCAAGAGAAUUCUGUAGUAAGUUUCGUUUUUCAUUUGAAAAUUAUUUUAGCCCAUUUAGUAACUUAUGCAUAAAUGAAGGUUUAUCAUUACAUAAGGCGAGAUUAUCAUUCAAACAGUAUAUUCCAUCCAAACGGAGUAAUAGAUUUGGCAUCAAAUCUUUUAUACCGUGUGACUGUAAAAGUGGAUGCGUAUUACGUUUUCUUGUGUAUACAAGAAACAAAAAUAAAUGAGAAGCCUCUGGGAAAAUCAGGCGAAAUUGUAAUUCCAUUAUUAGAAUGAUAUUUAGCAUUAGGAAAAUGCCACACUUUGUUGAUAUUUGGUAUACCAACCUGGCUUUACCAACCAGCACUUAUCUCCAAAAAAACCCCAUGUGGUAAAUUGUCAGAGGAAAGGUAUUCCUAUCACGAGUGAAAAAUUAAUUGGAUGUGAAAUGUAUUUCGAUCUUCGCCAAAUAUGUUCGCAGUCAAAUGGCAAGACAAACGCAAAGUGUAUAUGCCGUUCACUUGUCCCUCUGCGGAUUUUAUAAAUACAAGAAGACUAAAUUAGUGAACGAAAGAGGUUAUCCAAAAAUCGUCUUGCACAGUAAAUUAUAUUGCAAACAUGGGUGCGGCAGAUAAUCUGUCCCUAUUCAUUACGUCGUAGAUAUAGCAGUACACAAAAUAUUUUUUCCAUCUACUUGAUGCAGUCAUUCAGAAUGCGUUUUGUUUGUACAAAAAAAAAGAAAACAUUUUAGCUUCAAUUAAUUAAGGAAAUCGUAAAGAAGUAUAGAGAGAAAAAUAACGAUUUUAACAAUCGGCAUAAAUCUAUCGCAGGCCAACUUUGCUGGAAGACAUUUCCUGUCUUUUUGUAAAACAAUAAAUGCACAAAAAGAAAAAAAAAAAAGAAAACGUUGAGAAAUUAUGUUAUACGCACAAAAAACGAUAUAAGGCGAAGGUCACGCUACGAAUGUUAAAGUUGUGACGUUGGACUCCGCGUAGUCCCUUGCUUCAAAGUAUGUCAUACAAUAUUGUAUUGAUUUUUUAAAAAUUUGUGUUACUACUUAAUAAAGUAUACGUGCCCAUA